UGAUGGGUAGCCAAAAGGCAAAGGCGCUUUUUAAUCGAUAAAAGAGAUUAAUAAGAAUUUGUGGGUUCGAAUCCCACCCCUUUUUCCA
rnacentral:tRNA from 1 species